rnacentral:rRNA from 1 species
UACGGAGGAUCCGAGCGUUAUCCGGAUUUAUUGGGUUUAAAGGGUGCGCAGGCGGGAGAUUAAGUCGGCGGUGAAAUUUUGCAGCUCAACUGUAAAAGUGCCUUCGAAACUGGUUUCCUUGAGUGUGGAUGAAGUAGGCGGAAUUUGUGGUGUAGCGGUGAAAUGCAUAGAUAUCACGAGGAACUCUGAUUGCUAAGGCAGCUUACUAAGCCAUAACUGACGCUGAGGCACGAAAGCUAGGGGAGCAAACAGGAUUAGAUACCCU